AUGAUGCCUGCGGGGAUGGCACGGGUGAGGGCACCGGGCUGGGCAGCUCACCCGGAGCCCUGCCUGGUGGGGAACGAGAAAAGGGGCCCGGUCCCGGUACCUGCGGGCGGUGCCAGCUCCAGGCGCUGCAGGCUGUUGCGGCGGGAGGGGUUGAAGCUGCCCUUGGAGAGGCGGCGCUGGCGGCCGGACAGCAUGGCAGCGGGCGAGACGAUGCCCAGCGGCGGCUGCUUCCCCAUGCGCAGGUACAGCUCCUCGAUCUCCUUCUUCUGGGCGCUCUGCAGCAGCUGCACCUCCGCCAAGUGCCUGGGGAGAGGAGAGGACAGGGGCUGGCAGUGGGGCCUGGGGAAGGGACAGCGAGGUCCCCCCGGGCUGGCUGGGAACACGUGUGGCCGCCCAGGUGCAGCCAGCCCCGGCUCACUUCUGGCGCAGGUUCUGCAGCUCCUCCCAGAUCUCCUCGUCCUCGCUCUCGGUGUCGUCGCUGCUCACGUAGGACAGGCUGCGGGAGUAGCUCAGCCACACCUGGCUCAGCAUGGCCUGCGGCACGUUUUCUGUGCUCUCUUCCCCAGGGCCCUCCCCGGGGUCGCUCCCCGCUGGCGCAGCGGGCGCAGAGCCCCCCUCGGCCGGCACCUCCUCAGCCUUGGGUGCCUCCGGUGCCACGUCCGAGUCGCUGCUGGAGCUGUGGCUCGUGUCGGGCACCGCGGGAGGCGGGAGGCGCUCGCUGCCGGCUCCGUGCCGGGCUGCUCCCCGUCACUGCUGCCCGGCCCCGCGGAGCUCAUGGCCAGGUCCUUGGCUGGCACCACCUGGAACCGGCCCAGCACCUGCGGCUUGGCUUCUGCUGGGGACAGGGGCAGCUGGUGGGCACAGGGGCUGGCAGGGGCAUUGCGGUGCCCUGGCACAGCCUCAGCCCUGCCCCUCCUCACCUUCAUUGAUGGGCGAGAGCUGUGCCUUGGGCACGCUGGGGGCCGGUGCCUCCGAGAUGAUCAGAGAGUGGCUGGGCUUGGGGGCACCAGGCAGCACCUGUGGGCACCUGAGCACAUCAGCAGCCCCACCCCAGAUCUCCUGUCCUCCCCUGUGGGCACCUGA
rnacentral:lncRNA from 1 species